GCACAUGCACUCGCGGACCCGCCCGUGCAGGCCAGAGCGUGCCACCCCCUGAAAAAUUCGUCCGCAUUCUUCCCCCUCACGGCAAAACUAGGGUUUGGGGGCAUCACUGCGCGUCGUCCACCACCAGGCCAGACUCCGGCGCGCCGUCCACCAUCCGCCGGCGGCGCCGUCCGCCGUAGCACUCGGCCGCCCCGCCCUCCUCAGCCUGCCCCUCCAUCGUCAAGCCGCCCCGUCGGCCGUCGGCGUCCUCCGGCCCACCGUCCUCCGCCACGGCCUCGUCCGCCCGCCCUCCUCCACAGCGCCCUCGUCGGCCCGUCCCCAGCAAGGUCGGUUGCUCCUGCUAGCCUUCCUCCUCUCUUCCGGUUACUGCAACUGCAAAGGUGUGAAGCAAUCUGAAGAUAGAGAUUGGUGCUUCUGCACAUGAGGCUGCCACAGAUGCUUACAUAUCUUGGCACUUGUAUGAGGGCUGAGAAGAAAAAUCUUUUUCAGAAGUUAGAAUUACAGGAUUAUGAAAGUUUCUUGAACAUACGUCAAAAGGCAGUGCACAUGGAUUACUGUAAAUCGUUUUAGAUGUGAUUGCUGAACUUUUCAGCUACUGUUAUGUGCAAAAUUUAUUAGUGCACACUCUUUAGACCAUAUUGGAUUUAUAAUAUAUUUUUUAGCUCACCUCCAGCUCGGUGGUUCCGGUCUCUCAAUACAAAAGAAUGCCAUUGGUUCAAGUGUUGUAUUGACAUUGUCUUUUGUAAUUUGCCUCCGCAGAUUAGCCUCAAAAAUAAAUGAAAUGCUCGUUUUCAGUA